rnacentral:rRNA from 1 species
GACGAACCGUGCGAACGUUGUUCGGAAUCACUGGGCUUAAAGGGCGCGUAGGCGGGCGGCCAAGUCGGAGGUGAAAGCCUGCAGCUCAACUGCAGAAGUGCCCCCGAUACUGGUUGUCUCGAGGGAGGUAGGGGCAUGUGGAACUUCCGGUGGAGCGGUGAAAUGCGUAGAUAUCGUCAAGAAUACCGAUAGCGAAGGCAGCUUACUGGGCUGUAACUGACGCUGAUGCACGAAAGUGUGGGGAUCAAACAGG